rnacentral:rRNA from 1 species
UGCAGUCGGACGGUAGCACAGAGAGCUUGCUCUUGGGUGACGAGUGGCGGACGGGUGAGUAAUGUCUGGGGAUCUGCCCGAUAGAGGGGGAUAACCACUGGAAACGGUGGCUAAUACCGCAUAACGUCGCAAGACCAAAGAGGGGGACCUUCGGGCCUCUCACUAUCGGAUGAACCCAGAUGGGAUUAGCUAGUAGGCGGGGUAAUGGCCCACCUAGGCGACGAUCCCUAGCUGGUCUGAGAGGAUGACCAGCCACACUGGAACUGAGACACGGUCCAGACUCCUACGGGAGGCAGCAGUGGGGAAUAUUGCACAAUGGGCGCAAGCCUGAUGCAGCCAUGCCGCGUGUAUGAAGAAGGCCUUCGGGUUGUAAAGUACUUUCAGCGGGGAGGAAGGCGACGGGGUUAAUAACCCUGUCGAUUGACGUUACCCGCAGAAGAAGCACCGGCUAACUCCGUGCCAGCAGCCGCGGUAAUACGGAGGGUGCAAGCGUUAAUCGGAAUUACUGGGCGUAAAGCGCACGCAGGCGGUCUGUUAAGUCAGAUGUGAAAUCCCCGGGCUUAACCUGGGAACUGCAUUUGAAACUGGCAGGCUUGAGUCUUGUAGAGGGGGGUAGAAUUCCAGGUGUAGCGGUGAAAUGCGUAGAGAUCUGGAGGAAUACCGGUGGCGAAGGCGGCCCCCUGGACAAAGACUGACGCUCAGGUGCGAAAGCGUGGGGAGCAAACAGGAUUAGAUACCCUGGUAGUCCACGCCGUAAACGAUGUCGACUUGGAGGUUGUUCCCUUGAGGAGUGGCUUCCGGAGCUAACGCGUUAAGUCGACCGCCUGGGGAGUACGGCCGCAAGGUUAAAACUCAAAUGAAUUGACGGGGGCCCGCACAAGCGGUGGAGCAUGUGGUUUAAUUCGAUGCAACGCGAAGAACCUUACCUACUCUUGACAUCCAGCGAAUUUGGCAGAGAUGCCUUAGUGCCUUCGGGAACGCUGAGACAGGUGCUGCAUGGCUGUCGUCAGCUCGUGUUGUGAAAUGUUGGGUUAAGUCCCGCAACGAGCGCAACCCUUAUCCUUUGUUGCCAGCGAGUCAUGUCGGGAACUCAAAGGAGACUGCCGGUGAUAAACCGGAGGAAGGUGGGGAUGACGUCAAGUCAUCAUGGCCCUU